GGGAGCCAGGAUUCCCAGCACUUAGCUGGUGGGCAAAGGGGUUCAACCCCUUCCCCACACCCCACCUUCCCUCCUCCCAGUCUUCGGGAUUGCGGAGCUCCUGCCGGGAUCCAAGAGCAGGCUCUUGGAGGUCGAAGAAGGAUAUAACCUCCAGACCUGGAAUUUAAGACGCAAGAACCAGCCAGCAAAAGUGGCAGCCGAGCAUGCGAGGGACUGCUGAUGGCUUUUUAUUAGGAAGCUAUGCAACUUGAGGUUCUACUGAAAAGGAGAAGAGGCCACUGGAGAUGGGAAGCCACGAAAACGGACGAGAAACUACAGCAUUACUUCUGCAGAUUCACAAAGGAGUCCACGUUCCAAGAUGAGAGAAAUACCAGAAGCCGAUGGCUAUUCUACUUGACUGAAUGAAAAGAAAAGGAAGGCACUUCCUGUCAAUCCUGCUUUGGAUUCCUAGACAGUUUAAGAAGCACCAUUGAUCUGAUCAUUGGCACUGAGGAGGAAAUGCCCAUCCGCAGAAGACAUGCAGGGCUCAACCCAGCUUGACAUGGGCACAUUCUGUUGCCUACUUUCUACCUUGACGUCAUUUGGAGUAACAGCAGCCCAUGUUGUGAUAAUGGAGACAAUGAGUGCAUGGGAAAUUAUCAACUAACAAACACAGUACACAGAAAGGAGCUCUGGAGACCAGGGAGCACCCAAGCCAAUCCUGGAAACCGGAUUGGGCAGUUUCUGUAUCUGAAUGAAAAUUGGAUGGAGUUAUGGCGGGACACUCUUACUGGACACUGAAACCAUCCUGCAGCAAAUUGCUUCUGUGAAAUCUUUCUGCUGUUUGGGAGGUAUCCUUCUAUAGCACAGAAACGGAAACUUCAGCCAGAAGAGAGGAAUUCAGUGACUCCAUGCCAACAGAAACAGAGCUCUGCAUUUGUUUCCUGAGCCUACUUGCACUUGGAAGGUUUCUUUCCUCACAAGAAACAUGUGUUACAGGAUAUAAAAGUGGCUUUCCGUUUGGGGUUAGAACCCGAAACAGAAAGACAACAGAGAAAAAUUUCAGCUCAGCCUUUCUAGAUUGGAAAUGAUGCAUGAAUGUUGUUGUUUCUCCAAGACUUCAGCACAGGUAUAACAUGGUGCUAAUUUAAUCACCCGGUGAAUCACCUUUUCUCUGUGAGAUGUUAACACUGAUGUAAGAUGUUUCCAUGUGAGGAACGGGAAAGACUUGAGACACAAAAAAGCUUCAAGGAUUGGUAAAUAGAAUAAUGUGGUCUGUACCCCACUAAUUUUUCUUGCCAUCCAUGAGAGGCCCGAUGGGCUGCAGCAAUGCAUCAUUUAGAUCGCCCCUUCAGCUGGUUCAUGGAAAACUAACAAAAAUUGAUGUUGUUAUCUGGGGUUUUCGUGUGUGAUUUGUCUAACUCUUUACAUUCAUUAUGGGUUUUGCCCUUCUUUAAUAAAAUGGCCUGAUAUUGCCU
rnacentral:lncRNA from 1 species